UACGGGGGGGACAAGCGUUGUUCGGAUUUACUGGGUGUAAAGGGCGCGUAGGCGGACUUUUAAGUCGGCUGUGAAAACCUGGAGCUUAACUCCAGGUCUGCACUCGAUACUAUUGGUCUUGAGUAUGGGAGAGGAUAGCGGAAUUCCAGGUGUAGCGGUGGAAUGCGUAGAUAUCUGGAAGAACACCGGUAGCGAAGGCGGCUAUCUGGCCCAAUACUGACGCUGAGGCGCGAAGGCCGGGGGAGCAAACAGG
rnacentral:rRNA from 1 species